CAUUUGGACGUUGAAACACCGGUUCCCGUGCGAUCACUGAAGUUAAGCAACGUCGAACCUGGUCAGUACUUAGAUAGGUGACCGCUUAGGAAUACCAG